rnacentral:ncRNA from 1 species
UGAUCUCUGGAGAGUCCUCGUGGUAGAGGCGCCGAAGGUGUAAGGCUGUGUUGCAGAAGAGUACACACGAUGCAAAAGCAGCUGAUCUCUCAGGCAAAAGGACAGAGCA